GUAAUUUCCUCUUUCACUUCUAUUUCCUGCCUACUUUCUGCACAUGCAGGUCAAGUUGGGUUGUGAGAUUUGUAACUUCCUUAGGGUGACAUUGAGGAAGUGGACUGUUCGGGGGAAGAGGUGGGGACAUCUUUUCUUUGGAAGAGCUAUGGGGGUCGCUUGCUGAGAGAUCGAUGGAGUGCUGCAGUCUCCAUUGGGAAGAUCUAAGCGGGAUCUUUGUCUUAGGAAGAGCUUAUUCCAAGUACAGUCAGAGCGUCUCUGGGAGGUAAUCAACACACCAUUCGCGAUCCAUCCGCGUUUCAUCAAAAAUGCAGAACCGUUGUGUGUGACAGAGAACGAGCUCCAACCUUGAUCCUGCAUGUCGCGGACAUUCCUUGACGUGGGGCUGCCCUUGCACCUGGCUCAAGACUCUGGGAGACUGAUAAAGGAGAUCUGGCGGAAGCCUGAGGGCUCCAUGCUGCCUCACCAUCCCCAGCCAAGCCCACCGUCGGCAGCCAUGUUGCUCCUACAUCUGUUCGUGCAUGCUGUAGUAGGUGGUGUCCGCACAUCUGGCUGACUUUCACUGAAGAUUGGGAGGUCGCAGAAGGGAAGUGUGGUUCUGUCGAAGCCAGCGCAAGAACACGCCAGCAAGUCUGUGCCAGACACGUUUCUAACAGGUCAUCGUCAAAAAGUUACAAGUGUCAAAACUCUCAGACAAAAUCUACCAGUGACGCCAUGACCGCAGGCCUCUAUUGAAAUUCCUCUUUGCAAGUCAAGAGGAAUCUACUUAAGAUGAUCAUGGGACUUGCUGUGUUCCAGGAAAAGAAAGAGAAGAAUAAAGGGUGUGACUUCCCUGAAGUCAUGUAGUGAGUUUGUGACACAACUGGACAGCACUGGGGUCUUCAGAAACCCCUUUCCACUGAAGGAAAUGGCAUGCUUCAAAAGUCUAGGCUCAAGAGGACCUCUGGCCCAAUUCCAGAUGAAAAUCAAGAUGUGGCCACCCUGUGGAGAAGCCAGGCCCCCUGCUCCUGCUCCCCCUAACUCUCUCUCUUGCUGGUGGUUCUGUAGUUUGGAGCAAUGCACAGUGGGCCAAAGUCCCAGGCAACUCUGAGCUGAGCAUCACCAAAAAGAAGAUGACACCUGAUUUCGUUUAGGAAAUGACCUCCUCCUCGUGUAUGCAGUCUUAGUGGGAUAUCAACCCAUGGGCCUGCUCCCCACCAUGGAAGCUCUUGCAGAGACCAGCCCUGAGGGUGGAUAUUUGGUCUAAGUUCAGCCAAUCAGAUAGACUCUUCUGGAACUUUGGGCCUUGAACAAGUGACAUAAGGACCUCAGGAACAACACGGAGGCCAGGGAGCCAUGCUAAACAGACUGAAUUGCCUGUUCCUGACCUUCUAGAUUCUCCUCAGUUCCUGCCCAUGUCUAGGCCUGGCCCUUGACUCUUCGGUGGAAAACUGGAGCUGGUUGCCAUGGAGACCAGCCACCGACUUCAGAGUGCCUGUUUAUUAAAGAUGAAAGUAAUGUAUGCCUGGCUGAUCUGAGCAGCUGUCAGAGAUUCGACUGUUAGCAGAGGAAGUCACUAAUUUCGAGGCAUAAUCACUCAUCUAAGAGAGAGACGGCCCCCCUUCAUCUUCCGAGUGGAGCUGGGCCCUGUGGUCUCCGCCAGGUGUGCAAGAGCAGAAGAGGUGGGGGUGAGCCCCGCGGAGAGCAGCCUUGACGGACAUUGCGUGCCCUUCGACAGUAAUAAAAUCUGAGAGUAAAUCUGAAUCCCAAGAUUCACGAUUUAGAUUCACCAAGUGUUCUCCAAAGCCGACAGAGCAAACUGGGCUGAUCACUGCUGGGCUGUAAGGAGUGGCGGUGCCUGCAGGGAGCGCUCCAGGAGCCAAGAGGCUGCUGGGAGCUGAUCCCCACUGUCUUAUCACAGCGUAGCCAACUCGCUCAUCCCUUCUGCCCUCAGUGUCCUCAUCUGAAAGAGAAGGGAGGAGUAAGCUAAUUCUAACUAGUCUUUCAUUCCAUAGACACUUAAGUGUGGGCUUCCGUGAACAGAAAUGGUUCCUAACACUGGACAGCUGAACUGAGGUUAACCCUGGGUCUAGGUCACUGUUAACGAAGUACAAUCUCUACCUCUGGUCAAGGUUGUGUCAGGCCAAGGCAGGUGCUUGUUUCCAUCUCUUGGUGUCAGUGUGCAGACACUUCUAUGGCAGGUCUGGGCAGGAGCCCCUGUCCCAUUUCUCUUGAGCUGCCUGGUGUCUAAGAAUGAAGAUGGAACGUGAAGCUAAAGAAUGGAAGUGAGUAUCAUCAGUGCUUUUUAAAAAAAAUAUAUUUUAUUAAUUUA